rnacentral:misc_RNA from 1 species
UACGGAGGGUGCAAGCGUUGUCCGGAAUUAUUGGGUGUAAAGGGUGUGCAGGCGGAAGUCUAAGUCGGAGGUGAAAUCUUGCCGCUUAACGGCAAAAGGGCCUUCGAUACUGGAUUUCUUGAGUUCGGAAGAGGUUGGUGGAAUUCGACGUGUAGCGGUGAAAUGCUUAGAUAUGACAUAGAAUACCGAUUGCGAAGGCAGAUCACUAAUAAUGUAAUGACGCUGAUGGACGAAAGCGUAGGUAGCGAACAGG